rnacentral:rRNA from 1 species
ACGUAGGGUGCAAGCGUUGUCCGGAAUUACUGGGUGUAAAGGGAGCGCAGGCGGACCGGCAAGUUGGAAGUGAAAACUAUGGGCUCAACCCAUAAAUUGCUUUCAAAACUGCUGGCCUUGAGUAGUGCAGAGGUAGGUGGAAUUCCCGGUGUAGCGGUGGAAUGCGUAGAUAUCGGGAGGAACACCAGUGGCGAAGGCGACCUACUGGGCACCAACUGACGCUGAGGCUCGAAAGCAUGGGUAGCAAACAGGAUUAGAUACCCUGGUAGUCCAUGCCGUAAACGAUGAUUACUAGGUGUUGGAGGAUUGACCCCUUCAGUGCCGCAGUUAACACAAUAAGUAAUCCACCUGGGGAGUACGACCGCAAGGUUG